UACGGGGGGGGGCAAGCGUUUGUUCGGAAUUACUGGGCGUAAAGGGUUCGUAGGUGGCUUGCUUAGUCAGACGUGAAAUCCCCUCGGCUUAACCGGGGGAACUGCGUCUGAUACUGGCGAGCUUGAGUGCAGGAGAGGAACGCGGAAUUCCAGGUGUAGCGGUGAAAUGCGUAGAUAUCUGGAGGAACACCGGUGGCGAAGGCGGCGUUCUGGACUGGCAACUGACACUGAUGAACGAAAGCCAGGGGAGCAAACAGG
rnacentral:rRNA from 1 species